AGGUAUGGUUUUUUAAAAAUUCUUAAGCAUUAAAAAUAUUUAAUAUUGUAUAACACAACAUGCACUUCAUACAUUAUAUAGAUCGAUUAAAUCAUAUUUUGUUUGUUAAAUGCAAAGAGAGAAAAAAUAUGGUUAAAACUCUAAAAUUUGUGUGUACCAUGAUUUUAUUAUUUUCCUUAUUUCUCGUUGCAAUGGCUCAAAAAUCCACAAUUAAUUGCGAAUCUGAUAAGGAUUGUCCACAAUUAGCUAUUCAUCCCAAGUAUGUUUGUUAUCAUGGCAAAUGUUGGAGACUUUCUGUAGGACCACCACGUGUUGAUUGAUGAUUAGCUGACCCAAAACGAGAUAUAGUUACGCCAUGCAAGGAUGAACGAGUUCUUUCUCUACUAAAAAAUUAAUGAAAUACAACAUAUAUGUUAAAAUAUUCCAAAGUUGCACUCAAUAAAUGUGUAAUUUACGUUGCACUCAAUAAAUGUGUAAUUUGCUUUUUUUUUC